rnacentral:rRNA from 1 species
UACGUAGGCAGCAAGCGUUGUUCGGAGUUACUGGGCGUGAAGGGUGUGUAGGCGGUUCUUUAAGUUUGGUGUGAAAUCUCCCGGCUCAACUGGGAGGGUGCGCCGAAUACUGAGGGACUAGAGUACGGGAGAGGAAAGUGGAAUUCCUGGUGUAGCGGUGAAAUGCGUAGAUAUCAGGAGGAACACCGGUGGUGUAGACGGCUUUCUGGACCGUAACUGACGCUGAAACACGAAAGCGUGGGUAGCAAACAGG